AAGUAGGGGAUCGCAAGACCUUGCGCUUUUGGAGUGGCCGAUGCCUGAUUAGCUAGUUGGUGGGGUAAGGGCCUACCAAGGCGACGAUCAGUAGUUGGUCUGAGAGGACGACCAGCCACACUGGGACUGAGACACGGCCCAGACUCCUACGGGAGGCAGCAGUGGGGAAUUUUGGACAAUGGGCGAAAGCCUGAUCCAGCAAUGCCGCGUGAGUGAAGAAGGCCUUCGGGUUGUAAAGCUCUUUCAGUCGAGAAGAAAAGGUCGCGACUAAUAAUCGCGACUCAUGACGGUAUCGACAGAAGAAGCACCGGCUAACUACGUGCCAGCAGCCGCGGUAAUACGUAGGGUGCGAGCGUUAAUCGGAAUUACUGGGCGUAAAGGGUGCGCAGGCGGCUUUGUAAGUCAGAUGUGAAAUCCCCGGGCUUAACCUGGGAAUUGCGUUUGAAACUACAAAGCUUAG
rnacentral:rRNA from 1 species